UACAGAGGUCCCAAGCGUUGUUCGGAUUCACUGGGCGUAAAGGGUGCGUAGGCGGUCGGGUAAGUCUGAUGUGAAAUCUCACAGCUUAACUGUGAAACUGCAUUGGAUACUAUCCGGCUCGAGGAAUGGAGGGGAGACUGGAAUGCUUGGUGUAGCAGUGAAAUGCGUAGAUAUCAAGCGGAACACCAGUGGCGAAGGCGAGUCCCUGGACAACUCCUGACACUGAGGCACGAAAGCUAGGGGAGCAAACAGG
rnacentral:rRNA from 1 species